UAUUUUAUUGAUGCAUCCAAAUAUGGAAAUGUUUCAUGGUUCAUCAAUCAUAGCUGCUCGCCAAAUCUUGUGAAUCAUCAAGUUCUUGUGGACAGCAUGGUUUGUCACCGAGCUCACAUUGGUCUCUAUGCUAGUCAAGAUAUAUCUGUAGGUGAAAAGCUGACUUUUGACUAUCGAUAUGAACUCCUGCCUGGACAAGGAUAUUCAUGCAGAUUGAUGUUUUCCUAAUAUGCUCGAAUGCAAUGCAGUAUAAUGCACCAGAUACAAUUUAUUUUUGACAGGUUUGUCUAGGUCUCAAUUGUAUUAAUUCCUUUGUCAUGAUCUGUUGUGGUCUCAAUUGUAUUAAUACCUUGAGGAUUAUUGUGUUUCUAAUUUUUGAUGUUACAAAUAUA